GGUAGCAUAUCCCUCAAUACACACUUCAGGUAUCGGGCGACACCUGGAAUUACCCAUGGCCCGGAGAGUACAGUGGAAAUAAGAGAAAACUAGGUGUGAACGAUGAGACCUUUUCCUUCCACCAUUACGCAACACAACAGAUUAGCUCGGCCACCACUGCCGCCCUGCAUCACCAUCCAUUGCACAACUCAGGCCUGUCAACACCAAGCCGGCAAGCAACACCACCGUUUAAGCCCACACUAAGCCAGCAAGCAACACCACUGUCUAAGCCCACACCAGCCGUCCACACCGACACCCUCCAGCUCCCACGGUGAUGCCUCGAGCCCGCAGACAUUGAUAAACCCAUUGUACCUAUAAUCCUUAGCAUCUCUCACACACACACACACACACACACACACACAUGGACCACUGUACCACACCCCAGCUGGCCACACACACCCCCACAGCACACACUGACUCACCCCCUCUUCUUCAAAACCAGACUGUUCCCUCCCCCUAUUGAAGUGAGUAAACCUAAACAUGAACUUUAAAACCUUACAAUAUUAAA